rnacentral:lncRNA from 1 species
GCUGGCUGUCCUAAAUGUAGCAGGAAAGUGCCCUGAAACCCACACACUAGGUCAAAGAAGGUACAGAGUAGGGCCAGAGUAUUCCCUCCGGAAGUGAAUGCUAGUCAAGGAAUACAGUAAGGAUGGAGCCAGAUGUACAAAGAGCCCUAAGGUCCCUGUCCUCACCUCCAGGGAAUAAGGAUUUAUGAAGCAUGGCUGGUGGGGAAUUAGCCACAGGACACUAAUGGAAAUUCCAAGUAUUGAAUCCAACAAAACCUGUGAGAACUUAGAUCCCUUUGAUGAGCCUCAUGUUGAUGGGUUGCACCUUCAGAUAGAAAUGAAGAGGAUCAUUUCCUUAACACAGAAAAGGAAGAGGUGGUCAAGGUUCCUUUUAGAACCGCAGAGUCCUUCUCCAUAGAGCAGGGCAGCCUGGUGAAGCAACCGUCAGCUGUAGGAAGGAAGACCGUCUCCAACAUGACUGGGCACAAGGAGCUGUCCGUGGUGCUGCAGCGGCCUUUGUGUGAGCCCUCUUGGAAGAUGUCUAUUAGCUGCCAUAUGACAGGUGUUGUGUCAGAUCUGAAAGCCGGAAGUCUGAGAUCAGAGUGACAGCAUGGUCAGCCUCUGCUGAGGACUGUCUUCAGGGUUGCAGACUGCAGACUUCUCAUUGUAUCCUCACAUGGUGGAAAGAGCAAGAUAACUUUCUGCGGUCUCCUUUAGAAGAACACUAAUUUCAUUCAUGAUGCCUCCUCUCUCAUGACCUAAUUAUCUUCCAAAGUCCCCACCUCCUAAUACCAUCACACUGGGGUAUGGAUUUCAACAUGUAACUUUUGGUGGGGAGUGGGAGAGGAGUACAAGCAUUCAGUCCAUAAUAACUACAUAAUAAAAAUAUUUAAAAAAUGAAAUUAUUAAACAGGAACACAGUACAAAUAAUAUGAUAGGACAAAGACCAAAUAUAUUUUAUAUGUUAAUAAAAGUAAAUAUUCAUUAAGAUAAUUUUCAGAAUGGAUCACAAAGCAAAUCCAACUUUGUUAUAUGUAAGAAAUACAUGUAAACAAAGAUAUUCACAAAGUUUAAGAGUUAAAUACACACCAGAGAAAUACAAAUGCAAAGAAAGCAGUGACGGAUAUCUUAAUAUCACACAACAUAGAAUUCAAGACAAAUAUCAUUAAAUAGGGAAGGAAGGGUACCUUUUUACAUAAAGGAUAUAAAUCAGUUUAAGAUAAUAUUUAUAAAUAACUAUAUGCCAAAUAAUAUAGCAUCCACCUUCAUAAAGCAGAAAUUAGACAGAAGAAAUAAGCAGAAAUACGAAUAGAAAGGGAAUUUAAUUCACUUUUCUCUGUCUAUUUUAUGCCAAGAGGACAAUAAUAAACAGGGAUAUAGAAUGCCUAAGUAAUUAAUGAGACAGACGUGAUUAAUCCAUGUAACUGAAGAACACAGAAUAAGUUUUUUGUUUUUUCAAAAGCUGUGAAAACAUUCAUAGAAAGUGAUCAUAUAUUAACUCAUAAAGAAAUAUUUAAUAAAUUCCAAAAAAUAGACAUAGUAUGGAUAACAUUGUGUAACUAUAAUUCAUUAAAACUAAACACUGAUAACAAAAGAGAAAGCAAAAACUCCUUCCAUCUGGAAAUUAUAAAGGAUCUCUUAAUGCUCAGAGAGGAAAUACAAAUAAAAAUGGAAGAUUGUUUUAGGAAAAAACAGUAAUGCAAGUACUCUUUAUCAGAAUUUGUGGGAUAAUAUGGGUUGAGUUGUGUACCCAAAUCAUAUGUUGAAGUCCUAACCCUCAUUAUCUCAAACUGUAAUCUUAUUUGGAGAUAAGGUCUUUACAGAGGUAAUCGAGUUAAAAUGAAGUCAUUAGAAG